AAUCAAUGAACUUGUAUAAGUGUAUAUCUUGAAAAUAUAAAAAAGAGAUAAACUCUCUAUUGAUUU
rnacentral:tRNA from 1 species